rnacentral:misc_RNA from 1 species
GAUGAAGAACGUAGCGAAAUGCGAUAAGUAAUGUGAAUUGCAGAAUUCAGUGAAUCAUCGAAUCUUUGAACGCACAUUGCGCCCGCCAGUAUUCUGGCGGGCAUGCCUGUCUGAGCGUCAUUUCAACCCUCAUGCCCCUAGGGCGUGGUGUUGGGGAUCGGCCAAAGCCCGCGAGGGACGGCCGGCCCCUAAAUCUAGUGGCGGACCCGUCGUGGCCUCCUCUGCGAAGUAGUGAUAUUCCGCAUCGGAGAGCGAUGAGCACCUGCCGUUAAACCCCCAACUUUCCAAGGUUGACCUCAGAUCAGGUAGGAAUACCCGCUGAACUUAAGCAUAUCAAUAAGCGGAGGA